CAAACAAACUAAACCUACUAAGCUAUACAUUCUCCAUCCAGAAGAUGAUGUGCCGCUUGGAAUGCUUCACCAUGUUUCAGCUUUGCACCGCGCCUUCGAAAUCCGAGCGGAGACGAGAUGAAGAAACAAGCUCCGACGUUCAAUCCAUUUCGACAUCCAGAUUAGUUUAUCGUUGUGUGCACGCGCGGUAUGAGGGGAAACGAAACCGAAACACAGUGCGAAUGGAAUUGGAAUGAGAAAACAUACCGAAUCGAAGUGCCGACGUGUUAGCUACAGAAUUGAGAAUUAUAGCGAGGUCGGGAAUUGAAAAACGGAUCAUGAAGAUGCUGAUGAAGAUUGCAGGAUGAGUCGAUAAUGAGGAAGGGAGAUUGCAGUUUUUAUGCAGGGAGCUGUUUCACGAACACGACACAGGGAAUUGAAGAUUGAUAAGUUCUGCAGGUUUUCCCUCUUUUGGAAUCCACGUACGAGCUUGAACAGAGAAGAAGAUGAAGAAUAACAGUGCCAUAAUUAAUGAAUUGAAGCGUUGACACGAAUAGGCACCGUACUGUUUAUUUCUUAUUUUUGAUGCUCUUGCUUGUUGUUGUGACGCAGAGUGAAGAUGGCGAUUAUGGUGAAUUGUUGUGAGGAUGUGAGAAGGAUUGAGAAUCAGUAUUCAAGGUUGAAACGAAAUGAAGGAUGAAGAGGAAGAGUGAAAAGAGAUGAAGAAGGGUGGUUAUAGAAUGACGAAGAAGCCCCAUUUGUGAUGGAAUGAGUAGGUUAGGAGCUGAUCCGGUUUUGUUGAAUCCUUCGGUAUGCUUUAUGCUGCAAUUGGAGGGCCAUACUUGCUGUUGGAGCUUGGACAUAGUAUGCUAUGUGGAUUGACUUCACUUGUUUAGGAUUAGAUCAAUAGGUUGUAUUAUGGAUUUAUUGAUAUUGUAAUGACAUGUUUAUGGAAUGGAGUUAGUAUGGGAUGUGAAUCAUGGAACUAAGUUAGGGAAUUCUUAUUGUAUGGAAUUGAGAUUGAAGUUGUGCAUUGAAUCGUGUAUUGAAUGCUUGAACGUUAUGGAAAUUUUGAAGUUUCAUGAAAUGGAAUUGAUAUUAUAUUUGCAUUGA